rnacentral:rRNA from 1 species
UGGUGGAGCGAUUUGUCUGGUUUAUUCCGAUAACGAACGAGACUCUAGCCUACUAGAUAGUGGGCGGAUCAGUUUGUCCGCAACACUUCUUAGAGGGACAAGCGGUUUUCAGCCGCACGAGAUUGAGCAAUAACA